CUGCAACUCGACUACAUGAAGCUGGAAUCGCUAGUAAUCGCAGAUCAGAAUGCUGCGGUGAAUACGUUCCCGGGUCUUGUACACACCGCCCGUCACACCAUGGGAGUCGGAAAUGCCCGAAGCCGGUGACCAAACCAAUAAGGAAGGAGCCGUCGAAGGCAGGUCUGAUAACUGGGGUGAAGUCGUAACAAGGUAAC
rnacentral:rRNA from 1 species